AGUGAACGCUGGCGGUAGGCCUAACACAUGCCAGUCGAACGGCAGCACAGUAAGAGCUUGCUCUUACGGGUGGCGAGUGGCGGACGGGUGAGGAAUACAUCGGAAUCUACUUUUUCGUGGGGGAUAACGUAGGGAAACUUACGCUAAUACCGCAUACGACCUACGGGUGAAAGCAGGGGAUCUUCGGACCUUGCGCGAUUGAAUGAGCCGAUGUCGGAUUAGCUAGUUGGCGGGGUAAAGGCCCACCAAGGCGACGAUCCGUAGCUGGUCUGAGAGGAUGAUCACCCACAUUGGAACUUGGACACGGUCCAGACUCCUAAGGGAGGCAGCAGUGGGGAAUAUUGGACAAUGGGCGCAAGCCUGAUCCAGCCAUACCGCGUGGGUGAAGAAGGCCUUCGGGUUGUAAAGCCCUUUUGUUGGGAAAGAAAAGCAGCAGGUUAAUACCCCGCUGUUCUGACGGUACCCAAAGAAUAAGCACCGGCUAACUUCGUG
rnacentral:rRNA from 1 species